rnacentral:rRNA from 1 species
UACAGAGGGGGCGAGCGUUAUUCGGAAUUAUUGGGCGUAAAGGGCGCGUAGGCGGCCAAGCAAGUCUCGGGUGAAAUCCCUCGGCUCAACCGAGGAACUGCCUCGGAUACUGCUUGGCUUGAGGCCGGGAGAGGGUGGUGGAAUUCCCAGUGUAGCGGUGAAAUGCGUAGAUAUUGGGAGGAACACCAGUGGCGAAGGCGGCCACCUGGACCGGUCCUGACGCUGAGGCGCGAAAGCGUGGGGAGCAAACAGG